rnacentral:rRNA from 1 species
GGAGGAUCAUUAUUGAAAUGAAACCUUUGGUGAAGGUUGUAGCUGGCUCUAAUAAGAGCAUGUGCACACCUUUGCUAUUGCUUCUUUCAUUUUUCCACCUGUGCACCUUUUGUAGACCUGGGUUAGAGGAGGUUACAUUUUAUUAUGAUAUGCCUCCUUGUUUCGAAUGUGAAUUUGAAUUCUCUAGGUCUAUGUAUUUACAUAUACACUAUUUGAAUGUUUAUAGAAUGAUCAUUAGUUUUGGGCUUACUACUAUGUAUGUAGCCUUUAAAACAAAUAAUACAACUUUCAACAACGGAUCUCUUGGCUCUCGCAUCGAUGAAGAACGCAGCGAAAUGCGAUAAGUAAUGUGAAUUGCAGAAUUCAGUGAAUCAUCGAAUCUUUGAACGCACCUUGCGCUCCUUGGUAUUCCGAGGAGCAUGCCUGUUUGAGUGUCAGUAAAUUCUCAAAUGCCCCAUCAGUUAUUAUUGACUGAUUUUGAGGCUUUUGGAGUUUGGGAGUCUGCAGGUCACUAAUUUUUUGUGAUCAGCUCUCCUCAAAUAUAUUAGUAGAGAGGGGGUUCUAAACCUUUUAAUGUGAACCUUUCUUUGACUCUAUUGGUGUGAUAAGUUAUCUACGCCAGGAGUUUAGGUUUCACAGAGUCUCUGCUUCUUUAACUUGUCUUUUAAGACAAUUUCUGACCAUCUUGACCUCAAAUCAGGUAGGACUACCCGCUGAACUUAAGCAUAUCAAUAAGCGGAGGAAAAGAAACUAACAAGGAUUCCCCUAGUAACUGCGAGUGAAGCGGGAAAAGCUCAAAUUU